rnacentral:rRNA from 1 species
CCUACGGGAGGCAGCAGUGAGGAAUAUUGGUCAAUGGACGAGAGUCUGAACCAGCCAAGUAGCGUGAAGGAUGACUGCCCUAUGGGUUGUAAACUUCUUUUAUAUGGGAAUAAAACAGGGUAUGCAUACCCUCUUGUAUGUACCAUAUGAAUAAGGAUCGGCUAACGCCGUGCCAGCAGCCGCGGUAAUACGGAGGAUCCGAGCGUUAUCCGGAUUUAUUGGGUUUAAAGGGAGCGUAGGUGGAUUGUUAAGUCAGUUGUGAAAGUUUGCGGGUCAACCGUAAAAUUGCAGUUGAAACUGGCAGUCUUGAGUGCAGUAGAGGUGGGCGGAAUUCGUGGUGUAGCGGUGAAAUGCUUAGAUAUCACGAAGAACUCCGAUUGCGAAGGCAGCUCACUGGACUGCAACUGACACUGAUGCUCGAAAGUGUGGGUAUCGAACAGGAUUAGAUACCCUAGUAGUC